rnacentral:rRNA from 1 species
ACGGAGGCAGCAGUGGGGGAUAUUGCAUAAUGGGGGAAACCCUGAUGCAGCGACGCCGCGUGAGCGAAGAAGUAUUUCGGUAUGUAAAGCUCUAUCAGCAGGGAAGAAAAUGACGGUACCUGACUAAGAAGCCCCGGCUAACUACGUGCCAGCAGCCGCGGUAAUACGUAGGGGGCAAGCGUUAUCCGGAUUUACUGGGUGUAAAGGGAGCGUAGACGGCGAGGCAAGUCUGAUGUGAAAGCUCGGGGCUCAACCCCGGAACUGCAUUGGAAACUGUUUUGCUAGAGUGUCGGAGAGGUAAGCGGAAUUCCUAGUGUAGCGGUGAAAUGCGUAGAUAUUAGGAGGAACACCAGUGGCGAAGGCGGCUUACUGGACGAUAACUGACGUUGAGGCUCGAAAGCGUGGGGAGCAAACAGGAUUAGAUACCCUGGUA